CCCCCAUGGCUCCGCCCCUGUUGGAGAGCUGGAGGGAAUUUCGCUCCGCCAAGCGGGGAAGCGGCUCUUGGUGCCUUCUGGGCGGCCUCCCUCUUGGCAGUUUUUAUGGUCCUUUGCAGAGAAAACGAACCACCCCGCCACAGAGGGAGGUCUCGCAGCAAGUGACAGUCCACAGUUUUUCAGCAGGAAGAUCGAUGGAAGGGAAAAUGAGACUGAGCAGAAAAAGAAAGAUACAGAGCAGCGGGAGAAAAGGGGAAAUUGGCCCAGAGAAGAAGGAAAGACAGAGGAAGCAAGAGAAACAGAGAUCCAAUUAAUGGUAUAGAGGCAUACGUUGCAACAGUAGUCUGGCUCCGUGAGCUGUCUGGAUGGGAGAGCACAGGGGAACCAAGUGGUAUGAAAGGUGACGUUUGGACACAAGGUGUUAAGGAAGAAAAAUACCCUCAGAAUGCAGAGAAUUCAGUUUAUUGGAGUCCAAAUUUACAACUGAAGUUUACAACUCUUCCCCAAAACAAAAGCUACUUUUGAAUUUAGGAAGAAUAAAUGUCCCUUUU